GGGGUAACGGAAGUAGCUUGCUACUAGACGACGACCGGCGCACGGGUGAGUAACGCGUAUGUAAUCUGCCUUGUACAGAGGGAUAGCCCAGAGAAAUUUGGAUUAAUACCUCAUAGUAUUACUGAAUCGCAUGAUUUGGUAAUUAAAGCUCCGGCGGUACAAGAUGAACAUGCGUGACAUUAGCUAGUUGGUAAGGUAACGGCUUACCAAGGCUACGAUGUCUAGGGGUUCUGAGAGGAUGAUCCCCCACACUGGUACUGAGACACGGACCAGACUCCUACGGGAGGCAGCAGUGAGGAAUAUUGGUCAAUGGACGCAAGUCUGAACCAGCCAUCCCGCGUGAAGGAUGACUGCCCUAUGGGUUGUAAACUUCUUUUAUAUGCAAAUAAACCUACUUUCGUGAAAGUAGCUGAAGGUAGCAUAUGAAUAAACACCGGCUAACUCCGUGCCAGCAGCCGCGGUAAUACGGAGGGUGUAAGCGUUAUCCGGAUUUAUUGGGUUUAAAGGGUACG
rnacentral:rRNA from 1 species